UUUGCCUUUAAAAUAUACAUUUUGCUCAAGUGUAGAGGUCCGAUGCUGGGUGGCUGGGUGUUAAUUAUCCUGGGGGCGGGUGUGGUAGGGCACUAGCUGGGCUGGGCUGGGCUCGCUGGCGGCUGGUUUGAGAGGAGGGUGAUUCAGAGGAAGGCAGUGACACCCAGAUGUGGGACAGGCUGCAAGAAAGCCUGGUGGGCCUUAGGGCAGACACUUGUGGGGACCCGGGGAGCCCUAGGUGCCCUGACAGGUGGAAGAGGGGUGCAGAAAGGGAGGAUGUCAAAGAGAGAAUGUCAAAGGUCAUAACCAAACCUAACAAUUUUCUUCUACUUAUGCCUUUUGUCAGGACAAGGAGAGGGACAAAUUCCUUCUUGGCAUCCUUAUGGCCCUGUGACCUGCUAAUGAAUGCUGACUCUGAGUUGCUACUAGAAUUUGGUUUCCUUGUGGCUUCCCAGGAAUUGUGAGCCAUGUUGGAUAAGGACCUGCAAGGGAAGAAUGAGGAAGCCUGGGACAGUGCAGGAGGGGAGAGCACUGGUGGUAGAGAGGAGUGAUGACAAGGGUCUCCGCCAAAAGGGAAAUGGAGGGGUUAAAGAAGCUGCUGGGGAGGGUUAAAAACAAUGUGUUCUCACUCGUAGGUGGGAAUUGAACAAUGAGAACACUUGGACACAGGAAGGGGAACAUCACACACUGGGGCCUGUCGUGGGGUGUGGGGAGGGAGGAGGGAUAGCAUUAGGAGAUAUACCUAAUGUAAAUGAUGAGUUAAUGGGUGCAGCACACCAACAUGGCACAUGUAUACCUAUGUAACAAACCUGCACAUUGUGUACAUGUACCCUAGAACUUAAAGUAUAAUUAAAAAACAAAACAAAACAAAACAAAAACAAUGAGGUGCUAUUGUUUUAGUGGUGAGUAUCCGGAGACCUGGGAGUUCUAUUUACCAGGUAUAACCUGGGCUCAAAAUUCCAGGCUGACUUCAGGCAUGUCCUCAUCUCAUAGAUGCCAGCACUAAGGCCCAGAGAGGGCCGAGCUCAUUCAGCCCACCCAUCUUCUCACCCCUGACUGCAUUUCCCGGGGGUCCUUCUGCAGCCAGGUGCUGCUGUGGUACUUUGGGAUCUAUUGGCUGAGCUCCCAGAGAAGGGUCAUGGAUUGGGCUAGUUUGGAACAAGUGAAGGGACUGAAGAUGGGCUCAGUAUGGGGCGAAGACCUUCAGGAAGGGUCUGCAGAGUGAGUAGGGGGGUUUUGACUAGGAAAAGUUCCAACCCUGCCGGGGCCGCUGUCAAGAGAAAAGCAUCUAUUACAGUUACAUUUUUAAGUUAAGUAGACUGAAGAAUAUUUCUUGUGUAUUAAAGACGUUCCUUUUUGGUUGAUUUGCAAUGGAAAAGCUUUUGUUUUCUUUUUUUUUUUGGAAACAGGGUCUCACUCUGCUCACUCUGUCUCCCAAGCUGGAGUGCAGUGGUACAGUCACGGCUCACUGCAGCCUCCACUUCCUGGACUCAAGUGAUCUUCUCACUUCAGCCUUCUGAGUAGCUGGGACUACAGGUAGACCCAGUGUAAUCACAAGCAUCCUUGUAAGUGGCAAAGAGGCAGAGGAGACAGCGCCAGAGAGGCAGCUGCAUGAGAAGGAUCAAGAUGUUGCUGACUUUGAAGUUGGAAGAAGAAGGCCAUGAGCCUCAGUAUGUGGGCGGCUUCUAGAAGCUGGAAGGGGCAAGGAGAUGGAUUUGACCCUUCAGCCUCCAGGGGCAGCUGUACCUGCCAUCACUGAUUGUAGCCUGGUGAGGCCUGUUUUAGACUUCUGACCUGUAGAGCUGUAACAUAAUACAUUUGGGUUGUUUUCAACCACUAAGUUUGUGGUAAUUUGUUGUAGCAGCUGUAGAAAAUGAAUACAUAUGAAUCCUCUGGCAUUUGUUUGAGAUUUGCUCUAUGGCCUAGUAUGUGGUUGUAAAUGUUCCAUCUGUGCCUGAAAAAAUGUAUAUUUCUAAUUCAGUAGUCUCUGCUUUUUUUUUUUAUUUUGUACCCCAUCAAUAAAAUGAUUUUCAG
rnacentral:lncRNA from 10 species